AACGAACGCUGGCGGCAGGCUUAACACAUGCAAGUCGAGCGCAUCCUUCGGGGUGGGCGGCGGACGGGUGAGUAACGCGUGGGAACGUGCCCUCUUCUACGGAAUAGCCUCGGGAAACUGAGAGUAAUGCCGUAUACGCCCGCAAGGGGAAAGAUUUAUCGGAGGAGGAUCGGCCCGCGUUGGAUUAGGUAGUUGGUGGGGUAACGGCCUACCAAGCCGACGAUCCAUAGCUGGUUUGAGAGGAUGAUCAGCCACACUGGGACUGAGACACGGCCCAGACUCCUACGGGAGGCAGCAGUGGGGAAUCUUGGACAAUGGGGGCAACCCUGAUCCAGCCAUGCCGCGUGAUCGAUGAAGGCCUUAGGGUUGUAAAGAUCUUUCAGCUGGGAAGAUAAUGACGGUACCAGCAGAAGAAGCCCCGGCUAACUCCGUG
rnacentral:rRNA from 1 species